UAUAAUGCAGUUGGGUGCAACGCAUAUAAUCGUAUUUCUGUACAGAGUCCAAGGAAAUGAACCUGGAAAAACAAUUGAACAAAGCAACAGUGUAAACAUGACCUGUGGGGAUGACAGUGUUUGGAAUACAACUCUUAGAAAAUGUACCGAAUGUAACCCUGGCUUUGUUGGACGGAAUUGUUCCACAUUGUGUCAUUAUCCUCAGUAGGGCUACUUAUGCAGCAAGCGGUGUGAGAAUUGUGGUAUUGAAUCAUGUGACCACAGAACAGGCUGUCCAGAAUCAGCUA